rnacentral:lncRNA from 1 species
ACAGUUUAUGACCCCUAAGGAUAUACCAAUCCCCCGCCCUUAUCUUCUCUUUGACCAAUUCGGAAUGAACUCACAAAUGUCAAAGAGAAGGCCACUGCUGGUUCAUUGAACUGGUGUCUUGAAUUUUGAACAUACACCCACUAUCUCCAUUGACUCUAGAGGCUGCAAGAGUUAGCAGCAGACAUGUACGAUCCAUCUAAACCAUAAAUUUUGAAAUAAAGUACAUGCUAAAUAAACUAUCUUGUUUGAGCAGGAUCCAAUAGUCAUUCAAUAAAUAUUCGUAAGUUACAAAUAUUAGGCUGAAAUCAUGUGAUAGGUUGAAUCGAAUAGCAAUAAAACUUGAACAAAAUAAGAAGCGCAAACCACUGGGAACGUUUAGCUAAUCGGGAAAAGGGGAAAGGAAAGAACCAAUCCAUCUUGAAUAAACAUCAUUCACAGGUGAAAAAAGAAAACUAAAUUGCAACUCCAAAGAAUAUCAAUGGAUUUUAUAACAUCUAUGCAAGAUGAACAUCAACAUCAAAAUCGAUAUUACGACAUUAAGAAAACAAUAACACGUCGAUAGAGAUCUUUUAAAUAAAACAAAGAAUCUAUGUGACAUAUUAGCAUUUAAAUCUCGUUGAGCAAAAACGACACUAAAUUAGCAUUCUAACCCUUGCCAUGAACAUGGUUGAGUCAAACAAUGAACUCAACCAUCAACAACAGGAAAGUGGGACGUCCACAACACAAUAUACGCUGACGGAGAAGUAAAUGGCGGACUAAAAAACUUAAUACUAAAUGAGGAACUCCUGACAGACGAGAAUAACUACGGGAUCAACCAUGGAACCGAUUUUCACAUCAUACCAGCAGAAUAACAAUACCAAAACAAAUUCAAAACAAUUUUAACGGCCUUCAUAGCCUCUAUGAUACACAGUCCCAGCCUCAUUCAACAUACACAAAUGACCAUUUUCUACGAAGAAAGAGGGGUGAAGCAGGAAAUAUCAAAAUGAAGCAGAAAGAGAGACGAGCGUUCGUUUACCUCUUUCGGGACAGCAAACGGGACGACGAGCUAUCAGCAAACUUAUCGCUACUAGAAUCUCACGAUGUUGACCACCAACAGAGCAUCCUUAGAGAUUUUGCAACCCCCCAGAUUUUCAAACUAAAUAUCUUCAACCGUUAGCUUUUUUGAAAGUAUUUCGAACCCACUUUGCUUCUAAAACUUCCAACUCAAAAGGGAAAGAAGAUGAGAGAAUAAAAUUCCCAAAUUUUCUCUGCAGAGAACCUAACCCCCAGAUUUUUCCCCCAACUAAAAAAAAUCCCCCUGUUUCCUACCCUAGAAUUUUUUGCCCUAAUUCUCGAACCCUGACUUUUUUCCUCAGAAUUUCUAACCCUAAUUUUGACUUCC